rnacentral:rRNA from 1 species
UAUUAAAGGCAACGCCUGCCCAGUGAACAAUUAAACGGCCGCGGUACCCUAACCGUGCAAAGGUAGCAUAAUCAUUUGUCUACUAAUUAUAGACCUGUAUGAAAGGCAAAAUGAGGGCCCAACUGUCUCUUAUAAUAAAUCAAUUAAACUGAUCUCCUAGUAAAAAAGCUAGAAUACCAACAUAAGACCAGAAGACCCUGUGAAGCUUAAACUAAACUAUUAAAUCAAAUAAUAGCUACUUUCGGUUGGGGCGACCUUGGAAAAAAAAAGAACUUCCAACUAUAUCUAUUAAGAAUUAAAUAGGCUAACAAGCCAACUAACGACCCAGCACAGCUGAUAAAUGAAAUAAGUUACUCCAGGGAUAACAGCGCAAUCUUCUUCAAGAGCCCAUAUCAAAAAGAAGGUUUACGACCUCGAUGUUGGAUCAGGACAUCCUAAUGGUGCAGCCGCUAUUAAGGGUUCGUUUGUUCAACAAUU